rnacentral:rRNA from 1 species
UACAGAGGUGGCAAGCGUUGUUCGGAAUUACUGGGCGUAAAGGGCGCGUAGGCGGCCUUCUAAGUCAGACGUGAAAUCCCCCGGCUUAACCUGGGAACUGCGUCGGAUACUGGAUGGCUUGAAUUCGGGAGAGGGAUGCAGAAUUCCAGGUGUAGCGGUGAAAUGCGUAGAUAUCGGGAGGAACACCUGAGGCGAAGGCGGGCUACUGGGCCGAUACUGACGCUGAUGCGCGAAAGCCAGGGGAGCGAACGGG